AAUAUUGCACAAUGGGGGAAACCCUGAUGCAGCCAUGCCGCGUGUGUGAAGAAGGCCUUCGGGUUGUAAAGCACUUUCAGUAGGGAGGAAGGUAGUGUAGUUAACACCUGCACUAUUUGACGUUAGCUGCAGAAGAAGCACCGGCUAACUCCGUGCCAGCAGCCGCGGUAAUACGGAGGGUGCGAGCGUUAAUCGGAAUUACUGGGCGUAAAGCGCAUGCAGGUGGUUUGUUAAGUCAGAUGUGAAAGCCCGGGGCUCAACCUCGGAAUUGCAUUUGAAACUGGCAGACUAGAGUACUGUAGAGGGGGUAGAAUUUCAGGUGUAGCGGUGAAAUGCGUAGAGAUCUGAAGGAAUACCGGUGGCGAAGGCGGCCCCCUGGACAGAUACUGACACUCAGAUGCGAAAGCGUGGGGAGCAAACAGGAUUAGAUACCCUGGUAG
rnacentral:rRNA from 1 species